AAUAAUUUAAUAUUCUAUAAUAAGAUCCGUAAUAAUUGAUCCGUUUUCACCAUUCAACAUUUAUUUGGAACCGCUUGAUCCGCUCUUGUUCCGCUAGAACCGCUUGAUCCGCUCUUGUUCCGCUAGAACCGCUUGAUCCGCUUGAUAGAGCAUAUGAAUGAAGAUUGUGAUAGAGCAUAUGGAUGAACCAUAACAGUAAUCCGACCAUUUUUAGAAAAACAUAAAGAAUAACCUUCUUUAACCACGUUUCUUCCACCGUAAACUUGUUGGUUUUUAUCCCAAGAAACAGCAACCAUCACACAACUGUGAUCAUUAUCACAAUCAUGCAAGAGCAGAAGAGCGUAAUAGCGGUUCACCCCCCAUCUAAAUGCGGAAGUGUCCAUUUUUUAGAGAAAGUGAAAACCAAAUGAGAAAGAAAGAAACUGAGGGUUAUAAGUUGAUUUUCUUAUAAAUUUAUCAUGUAAUAUUGUGUGUUAGGGCAUCUCCAAGGCUAAAUACCAUUAUGGUGUUUCAAUUAUACCAUUUUUAGCGUUAAGACUUGUAUCCUCUCCAACCAUAACACCAAAAAUCACACUAAAAGAAUAAUCUACUAUUAUAUUAUUUAUUUAAAAUUAUUUUUAUUAUUUAAUAGUUUCGGUAAGUAUUUAUUAUUAGUAUAGAAUUACAUAACAUUAUAAACAUAAUACAAUGAAAUAUAUAUUUAAAAUACAUAAAUUUUUAACUAUUUUAAGUAUUUUCAUACAUAAUAAUAUAAAAAUAUAAUAUUUAAAUAAACUAUUUGAAGAGAUAAAAUAUAUUCAUGCAUAAAUUUAUU
rnacentral:sRNA from 1 species